rnacentral:rRNA from 1 species
GAUGAACGCUGGCGGCGUGCCUAAUACAUGCAAGUCGAGCGAACGGACGAGAAGCUUGCUUCUCUGAUGUUAGCGGCGGACGGGUGAGUAACACGUGGAUAACCUACCUAUAAGACUGGGAUAACUUCGGGACACCGGAGCUAAUACCGGAGAAUAUUUUGAACCGCGUGGUUCAAAAGUGAAUGACGGUGUUGCUGUCUCUUAUAGAUGGUUCCGCGCUGCAUUAGCUAGUUGGUAAGGUAACGGCUUACCAAGGCAACGAUGCGUAGCCGACCUGAGAGGCGGAUAGGCCACACUGGAACGGAGACACGGUCCAGAGUCCUACGGGACGCAGCAGUCGGCAAUCGUCCGCAACAGGCGGAAGCCUGACGGAGCAACGCCGCGUCAGUGAUGAAGGUCUCCGGAUCGUAAUACUGUGUUAUUAGGGAUGAACAUAUGUGUAAGUAACUGUGCAGAUAGUGACGGUACCUAAUCAGAAAGCAACGGCUAACUACGUG